rnacentral:misc_RNA from 1 species
UCUCCGUUGGUGAACCAGCGGAGGGAUCAUUACCGAGUUUACAACUCCCAAACCCAAUGUGAACGUUACCAAACUGUUGCCUCGGCGGGAUCUCUGCCCCGGGUGCGUCGCAGCCCCGGACCAAGGCGCCCGCCGGAGGACCAACCAAAACUCUUUUGUAUACCCCCUCGCGGGUUUUUAUAUCUGAGCCAUCUCGGCGCCUCUCGUAGGCGUUUCGAAAAUGAAUCAAAACUUUCAACAACGGAUCUCUUGGUUCUG